AAAACCACAGCAUCACUAUUAGGCUGCUGUGCUAAUCUUGUUCAAUAAUGCUCAGAGAAGGAGGAAAGGCAGUGCUGAAAACUAUGGCAAGUGGGAUAGCAAAGCUGAGUAUACUGGAUGUGCACACCUUCAUGUUACCAGUGUUAGAGGUGAAACCCACGCAGAGCCAUGAGAAUGACAGACAAAUGAUUUGCUGUUGCAUUGCACAGCCAUCUUAAACCCUGAUGUCAUAAAACUCAGUCUCCUGAAGAGAAAACCUGCGGGAUUCUUAGACAUAGGAAGGUCCACACAGGCUUCAACAGAGGAGUGUGGACACGAUGAAUGAUUCCUAGAGUGGUACAUUGUGGGUGAGUGACACUUCCCUACAAGGAUCUUGCUAAGACCAGUGGCAGACACCAUUUUUGACAAUAUUUUCUCAUAGUUUGGUAUGCAGCGAGAAUGCUCCUUUGAUAAAUUGCUUAUGUAAGUCACUCUCUUUAUUAGUCAAGUAAUCUGAAAUAUAAAUUAUAAGCUUUUCAAGUAUUUGUUUUUUCACAUCUAGAAACUAAUGACUUUGGUUACUCUGGAGACUAUUAUGGCAGAUUUUUCUGCAAAUGACUAUUUAAAUGAGUUUUCAGUAUGGGAAAAAUAUGUCACUUGUAAGUAAUGUAUUCUGAUUAUUUUCUAAUGUUGAUAGUCAUUAAUAAAAAUCAUUUUCAGCCAUUUAGGUCAUAUUAAACUGUUAAAUUCAUUAUUAUUUAAUUAUAUUAAAUUUGUGUGACUCAAAAAUAACCAGGGGAUCUGAAUUCAAAAAAGAUAAUAUAAAAACAACAAGUAACUCGUGUGUUUUCUGUCUACCUGUGGCAAUCAUUGCUAAUUAGGAGAGUUAGAAAAUCAGAUGCUCACUAACCUUGUGUGCUAGGGAACCUAUCUCAACUUUCCUCUUUAUAAAAUUGAACCUAUUAAGAUGUGACUAAUCUAUAUCACAAGAUUUCUUUUGGUGCUAAGCAGGAAGUCUUGUGCAAACAUGGAGCACUUGAGAUAGAGAACAGCCAUCAGGAAAGACAUAGACCCACCUCUGACCAUGGCUGAUGGGUGAAUCCCUUGAGAGGGCUUCUUAGUAGUGUUACAAUACAUUCACCAAGCUGGCGAGAGAAGAAUGAAAGGAAAGAGAAAUGGAUAAAACAAUCAUAAAUUCAUUCACAGAGGAGCAUAAAGGACCCCAAGUAGACAAAACAACCCCAAGUAAAAAGAAUAAUACUGACAGUAUCAGCAUUGCUUCCUUCAAGCUAUACAACAGAGCCAUGGUGAGGAAAACAGCAUGGUACUGACACAAGGCAGACAUGUAAACCCACGGAAGAGAACAGGAGACCCAGACACAAAACAAUGAAGCCACAUCACUUCAUUUCGACGACGGUGUAAAAUACUCACGGUGGUGGGGCAGUCUUUUUGAACAAAAAAAAAAUACUGGGGAAAGUCACAUGCAGGAGAAUCAAAUUAUUGUCAAAAAAUUCUCACUCACCUCACUCAAAACCCAGUGCCAAGUGGUUCAAAGUCAUUAACGUAAGACUCAAAAACUCUGAAACCAGUGGAAGGAAAGUAGAGAAGACACUGAAAAACACAGGUGUAGGUGAGCGCCUUCUGCAUAGGACUCAAAUGCUCAGGAACUAAGAUCAGUCAUGAAGAACAAGGCCUCAAAAAAUGUUCCUGAGGUGUAGAAUGUGGCUAUGCUGUAGAGCCAAGGUCUUCAGUUCAACACCCACCCCACCCCACCCCACACACACACCACACCCUUACAGCAAAUGAGACAGUUAAGUAAGUAAAGCGCCAAAGAGAUAGCCUGCGGAGUAGAACAUCUUUGCCUGCUUUAUCCCUGACAAAGGACUGAUAUCCAGAAUGUAUGAAGAACUCAAAACUCUUAACAAAUGAUCUAACUGCAGAUUGGGCUGAGGAGCUAAACAGACUUUCUCACACGUACAAAUGGCUGUAUAAUUAACUAAUAAUGUUAUUUUUAUUGCUGCUGUUGUAUGUGUUCAACAUCCUUAGUCAUCAGGGAAAUCCAAACGAAAACCACAUUGAGUUCAAGAUGGCUAUCAACAAAGAAGCACAAACUACACAGUGCUGGCGAGGGCACGGGGAAGGAGGGACACUUACUGAUAUCCUGAGGCUAGUCUGCAGAGAAUAUGUUUGUUUGUUAAGUUCUUCCCUAGGUUGGGCAUUGGUCUGUCUUCAGAUGUGAACAAUUGAGAUGCACGUUGGUGUCAAAUCACUGAGGGUUUAUAAUUUGAGAAGGCAAAAGGGACUCUGUGUGUAUUUAUUUCAAAGACCUGAAAGCCUUUCCCACAAAGUUGUAUGCAUACCUAAACUUACUGCUAAUGACCACUGUUUACACCAUUCUAAUAACAAGGAAAAACAAAACCAGAGCUAAGUCUUUGGAGUUCAAGGACAAAAUGUGUGUGUGUGUGUGUGUGUGUGUGUGUGCGUGCAUGCAUGUGUGUAUUGGAGGGUGAAGACAAACGAAUCAAAAUCAGCAUUUUUGCAAUCUAUUCCACCUGGCCACCUUAAUAACAUGUCAAUUAAAUGAUCUACAUGCACUAAAAACUCCUUGGUAUACUAUAGAGAAUGUACAUGGCAAAACACUAAAAAGCAUCCGGGAUUCAAACUGAUUAUGAGGAAACAUUGUCUAAAAACCUGGAAGUAUCCACUCUAUAACCCAGCAGGACCCUGGGUUGUUGUCCAGAGGGCCAUGUCAUCAAAGGAAGAGACUACAUGGUUUCCUAUAAACGGUAAGCUGAGCAGAGCUGUUGUCCUUUGCUUGUGAGGAAAUGACUGUCAACCCCUCAGUGCCUAAAUGCCUAAAACCUGUUUUAUACCAUUCAUGUGACAAUCUCCUUUCCUCCCCCCAUCCAGCCCUGCUCUUUAUGCAAAAUGCUUGUUAGGUCAAGUUUGAAUAAUCAUCAAUUUUAUACCAUAGAAGCCUGAAAGAUACAGUCCAUUUUCUCACACACACACACACACACACACACACACACACACACACACACACACACACACACAUUCUUCAAAUGCUCUCUGUGUGUACAGACAUCAAAUGUCUCAACUUGAACUAGUCUGCUUUGCAGCUGUAUUUGAGUGAACACCUGCAACCCAUGGGUUAUCUGAACAGUGUUCCGGGUUCUAUCACUUACGGAAAAGGUAAAACUGUUUCACCAUCUUUUUGACAAUGUUGCAAUGAACUCUUCCCUCAAGUACUAAAAGCCUGCCUGGCCUUAGCCAAAGUAAACGCCUAGCCAGUCUCAGUGAGUAGUUCGCCUCCCUUUUCUAAAGCUGUUAGCGUGAAUAAAUUAAUGAGGUCAUCACUUACCCUCAGAGGACUGACUUCUGAAAAAAAGAAUAUGUGAGACUUGAAAAGGUAAAUCUUUUUAUCGUUCCAGAGAAAUACAAAUAUCUUCCUCUGCUCACGGUGUAAUCAGCUUUUCUCGGUAUUACAUCAUGAGCAACGAUGCAGGUCAUUAGUUCAGUGCCUGGAUAUGAUCAUUUGUUAGAUGAACUACCAUGUCAGGGUUUUGAACUGCAGCAAUCAGUCAGAAGUUUCUCUUUUCCCUUGAUUUAUGUUUUUGAGUAUGUUAAUGAAUGUUUUAUAGAUUUUAAUAUA